UCUGCGUUUGCCUAUCCCUUUAGCAUCCGCCCCGCAUUCCAAACUGCUUUUGUAGUCUAGUGGAGCAACUUGAUGUGAAAUUUGCCUUCUUCUUUUUCUUUCUUUUUUUUUUUCUAAAAGAUUGUAACUGAAGAGUUUGCCUCCCCACCCCCAACCCAUUCCAGUCUCCACCCUUUCCAGUCUUGUUUGUAAUAUGCUGAAGUUCAAUACCGGGACCUGAGAGACAGCUUAGAAGACAAAGGUACUAAUGGUUCCGAGCCUGUCAAUCUCUGUUGAACCUCUGGAAGCCAGGUGCAAGAACAUAGAUCAUCACACAGACAUAUACAGUUAAGUAAAAGCAAGAUCACGACACCAUCAAUGGGUCUCAUGUGUCUGCAUUGUAACAUAAAGAGUGAUUUAGGGGUCUGGAGAGAUGGCCCAGCAGUUAAGAGCCCUGACUAUUCUUCUAGAGGUCCUGAGUUCAAUUCCCAGUAACCACCUGGUGGCUCACAACCAUCUGUAAAGGAAUCUGAUGCAGUCUUCUGGUGUCUCUGAAGAAAGCAGCUGUAUACGCACAUACAUAAAAUAAAUAAGUAUUUUUUUAUUUUUAUUUUUUUGGCUUUUAGAGACUGGGCUUCUCUGUAUAGCUCUGGCUGUCCUGUAACUCACUCUGUAGACCAGGCUGGCCUCGAACCCAGAAAUCCACCUGCCUCUGCCUCCCAAGUGUUAGGAUUAAAGGCAUUCGCCAGUCUAUAAAAUAAAUAAAUCUUAAAAGAAAAAAAGAGUGAUUCAGAGGCUGGAGACCGUGCCUUGUAGAGAUAAUUUAAGCCUCCCCACCCUGCUCUGUAACA